ensembl:lncRNA
CGCCGCUUGGCGUUAUGGGAGCGCAGAGAGGAUGUGUUCGUGACUACGUCGAAAUCCGGACCAAGAUUGUGCAGGGCCCAAAUAUCUAUCGAGACCAAAGAGGCAGCCGAUCCAUAAAGCCCCGGUAUAAGCAGAUACAUUUCAUGAGUCAUCGCAUCUCUCCAUUGACUUUGUAUGCAGUCACACCACCUUUAAAAUCACCCCACGUUCUUUCUGAUCACAUCAUGGGAGUUCUCUUCAUACUAAGUGGAAUUAAUGAAGCCGCUGCCAAAGAAACUGAAGGACCUCCUCUUGAUGGAACACUUUCCUCUAUAGUCUGAAUCAAAUGAUAGCCUUCACGUCCUCGUAGAGCAUAUCGUCAGUGCUGAGAGGAGCCGUGCAGUUAAAGACUUUCAAAGGCUGAACCGGGCACGCUGCCAAGCAUCUAUUGUUCCUGUCCUGGGCCUCUUGGUUUAAGCUCUCCCACCAGCACUGGGAGGACAGGAUUCACAUGGGUACUUGUUAAAAGUUUUUGUCAGAAUUAAUUCUCUCGGAAAUGUCAGCGAAGAACAGGGAGUUUUCUUUCACACCUUGUGGCUUCCUACCCUAAUUUGCCUUUCUGCUAUGAUACACCAGCAGCUUCAUACUAUUGUAUGGCAAGGAAUAAAAAUAUUUUUUUCCCUGAGUCAUUUUCAAUUCUCUUUCUGUGCUCGUUCAUUUUGAUUCCAUAAAUUCCCAAAUUGGAAGCCCC